UGGCGAACGGGUGAGUAACACGUGAGUAACCUGCUCUUGACUUUGGGAUAACUUCAGGAAACUGGGGCUAAUACCAGAUAGGAGCUCCUGCUGCAUGGUGGGGGUUGGAAAGUUUCGGCGGUUGGGGAUGGACUCGCGGCUUAUCAGCUUGUUGGUGGGGUAGUGGCUUACCAAGGCUUUGACGGGUAGCCGGCCUGAGAGGGUGACCGGCCACAUUGGGACUGAGAUACGGCCCAG
rnacentral:rRNA from 1 species